UCUCAUACUGCCUCCCUGGAUCAUGCAGUUGAGUAAGAUGGUUCUUCCUAUUGUUAUGUGAUUUCAGUUCCAUAAGAACAAUGGGUCUGCCAAGCUCCAAAUGACCAAAAUAGAUACAGAUAGGUUGAAGGCAAAGAACAAAGGUGUUUGUUCACCUUGGCCAAAGUGGAUACCAGUAGAGUCUGCACUCCAAAAACUGACUAAAUACAAUUAGGGUCUGUGCUUCAGUAGCUGAAAUGAUUGGAGAUGACGCAAGCUCUUGGAGGCAAGCUUUCAAGGCUCUUGCUCAGCCUAAUGAAAGAUGAAAACAAACCAACUGGUGUCCCUGGAGAACAGCCUGGAAAUAGCCUGUAUGAACCUGGAGUCCCAGAAACUUAUAUAGAAUGCUUGAUCAUAGGAUUCUUCAUAGGGUGAUACAGGCAAGAUGUUGCACAAUACCGAUUCCAGAGAAUUAAGGCCAAAACUUUAUUGCUGAUUUUGUUGACAAUUAUGUAGUGACAGACUUGGUCUGAAAUCCUCAAAAGACGCCAUGAAUUGAAGUUUUUCUGUACUUCGCCUUUUCAUUAUGGGUGAGGCAUGGCUUUUCAGAAGGCUCGGCUUACUCCAGUUGAAUUAAGACUGCAGAAUGUUAUGAUUGUUGUGAUUUAUGGCAACUCUAUGAACCUUGGUGGUGAAGUGUGUUAAAGCACUGAACUGCUGAACUUGCAGGCCGAAAGGUCCCAGGUUCAAAUCCCGGGAGCGGAGUGAGCGCCCACUAUUAGCUCCAGCUUCUGCUCCAGCUUCUACCAACCUAGCAGUUCGAAAACAUGCAAAUGUGAGUAGAUUAAUAGGUACCGCUCCGGCGGGAAAGUAAUGGUGCUCCAUGCAGUCAUGCUGGCCACAUGACCUUGGAGGUGUCUACGGACAACGCCGGCUCUUCGGCUUAGAAAUGGAGAUGAGCACCAACCCCCAGAGUCAGACAUGACUGGACUUAACGU